CAUCCCCUCGCCACCAACCUGCGCUGGUGCACGCACGUCCAGCAACGCCGCGGACCUUGUCCCCCCCGUGCAACCUUUGCCACCUCUUGUGCAAGCCCUGCAGCGCCCUGAGCAGCCCCCGCUGCAACCCCCGCUGCCUGGGCCGCGCUUUGGGCCUGGCAUUGCUCUGUGCACCCUUUGCAUGCCUGCUUGCACAUUUGCAUUGCUCUGCAUGCUCUUUGCAUGCUCGGUUUUUGCUCUGCCUGCUCUUUGCAUACUCAUUUUCUUGCUCUGCAUGCUCUUUGCAUGCUCGGUUCUUGCUCUGCAUGCUCUUUGCAUGCUCUCUUUGGGCCUUGCAUUGCCCUGCACACUCUUUGCACGCCUGCUUGCACAUUUGCAUUGCUCUGCGUGCUGUUUGCAUGCUCAGUUCUUGCUCUGUGUGCUCUUUGCAUGCUCUCUUUGGGCUUUGCAUUGCUCUGUGUGCUCUUUGCAUGCUCGGUUCUUGCUCUGCGUGCUCUAUGCAUGCUCAGUUUUUGCUCUGCUUGCUCUUUGCGUGCUCUCUAUGGGCUUUGUGUGGCUCUGUGUGCUCUUUGCAUGCUCGGUUCUUGCUCUGCAUGCUCUUUGCAUGCUCUCUUUGAGUUUUGCAUUGCUCUGUGUGCUCUUUGUAUGCUCAUUUUUUGCUCUGCGUGCUCAUUGCAUGCUCAGUUCUUGCUCUGCCCACUCUUUCCUUGCUCUCUUUGGGCCUUGCAUUUCUCUGCGCACCCUUUGCACUCCUUGCAUGCUCUUUCUCCUUGCUGCAAGCUUUGCAAUCCUUGCAUGCUCCUUCUCCUUCUUGCAAGCUUUGCAGUCCUUGCACGCUCUCCCUGCACGUUGCAAGCUUUGCACGGUGUUCUGCUUGUGGGCUGCAAUCGUUGCAGUCCUUGCAUGCUCCUUGCUAUUGCUGCAAGCUUUGCAAUGCUUGCAUGCUCCUUCCACUUGUUGCAAGCUUUGCAAUCCUUGUAUGCUUCUUCUUCUUGCAAGCUUUGCAAUCCUUGCACGCUUCUCCUUGCUGCA
rnacentral:lncRNA from 1 species